rnacentral:rRNA from 1 species
GAUGAACGCUGGCGGCGUGCCUAAUACAUGCAAGUCGAACGCACAGCGAAAGGUGCUUGCACCUUUCAAGUGAGUGGCGAACGGGUGAGUAACACGUGGACAACCUGCCUCAAGGCUGGGGAUAACAUUUGGAAACAGAUGCUAAUACCGAAUAAAACUCAGUGUCGCAUGACACAAAGUUAAAAGGCGCUUUGGCGUCACCUAGAGAUGGAUCCGCGGUGCAUUAGUUAGUUGGUGGGGUAAAGGCCUACCAAGACAAUGAUGCAUAGCCGAGUUGAGGGACUGAUCGGCCACAUUGGGACUGAGACACGGCCCAAACUCCUACGGGAGGCUGCAGUAGGGAAUCGUCCACAAUGGGCGAAAGCCUGAUGGAGCAACGCCGCGUGUGUGAUGAAGGCUUUCGGGUCGUAAAGCACUGUUGUAUGGGAAGAACAGCUAGAAUAGGGAAUGAUCUUAGUUUGACGGUACCAUACCAGAAAGGGACGGCUAAAUACGUGCCAGCCGCCGCAGUAA